UACGUAGGUGGCAAGCGUUGUCCGGAUUUACUGGGCGUAAAGAGCGCGCAGGCGGUCGUUCAAGUCGCGUGUGAAAGCCCCCCGGCUCAACUGGGGAGGGUCACGCGAUACUGAUCGACUGGAAGGCAGGAGAGGGUAGUGGAAUUCCCGGUGUAGUGGUGAAAUGCGUAGAUAUCGGAAGGAACAUCAGUGGCGAAAGCGACUUCCUGGACCAAUACUGACGCUCAUGUGCGAAAGCGUGGGGAGCAAACAGG
rnacentral:rRNA from 1 species